rnacentral:misc_RNA from 1 species
AACUUUUAGCAACGGAUCUCUAGGCUCUUGCAUCGAUGAAGAACGCAGUGAAAUGCGAUAAGUAAUGUGAAUUGCAGAAUUUCGUGAAUCAUCGAAUCUUUGAACGCACCUUGCGCCCUUUGGCUAUUCCGAAGGGCAUGCCUGUUUGAGUAUCAUGAACACCUCAACUCUCAUGGUUUGCCAUGAUGAGCUUGGACUUUGGAGGUCUUGCUGGCCUACGGUCGGCUCCUCUCAAAUGAAUCAGCUUGCCAGUGUUUGGUGGCGUCACGGGUGUGAUAACUAUCUACGCUUGUGGUUUUCACCAGGUAACCUUCAGCGAUGGAGGUUCGCUGGAGCUCACAAAUGUCUCUCCUCGGUGAGGACAGCUUUUGAACAUUUGAUCUCAAAUCAGGUAGGACUACCCGCUGAACUUAAGCAUAUCAAUAAGCGGAGGCU